CCUACGGGUGACUGCAGUGAGGAAUAUUGGUCAAUGGACGAGAGUCUGAACCAGCCAAGUAGCGUGAGGGAUGACUGCCCUAUGGAUUGUAAACUUCUUUUGUCUGGGAGUAAAGUCUCCCACGUGUGGGUGUUUGUGUGUACCUGAUGAAUAAGCAUCGGCUAACUCCGUGCCAGCAGCCGCGGUAAUACGGAGGAUGCGAGCGUUAUCCGGAUUUAUUGGGUUUAAAGGGUGCGUAGGCGGGUUUUUAAGUCAGCGGUAAAAACGUGGAGCUCAACUCCGUCCAGCCGUUGAAACUGGUGGUCUUGAGUGGGCGAGAAGAAGGCGGAAUGCGUGGUGUAGCGGUGAAAUGCAUAGAUAUCACGCAGAACCCCGAUUGCGAAGGCAGCAUUCCGGCGCCCGACUGACGCUGAGGCACGAAAGUGUGGGUAUCGAACAGGAUUAGAUACCCGAGUAGUC
rnacentral:rRNA from 1 species